rnacentral:rRNA from 1 species
UGGCGAACGGGUAGUAAUACAUCGGAACNGCCAGUAGUGGGGGAUAGCCCGGCGAAAGCCGGAUUAAUACCGCAUACGACCUACGGGUGAAAGCGGGGGAUCGCAAGACUCGCGCUAUUGGAGCGGCCGAUGUCAGAUUAGCUAGUUGGUGGGGUAAAAGCCUACCAAGGCGACGAUCUGUAGCUGGUCUGAGAGGACGACCAGCCACACUGGGACUGAGACACGGCCCAGACUCCUACGGGAGGCAGCAGUGGGGAAUUUUGGACAAUGGGGGCAACCCUGAUCCAGCCAUGCCGCGUGCGGGAAGAAGGCCUUCGGGUUGUAAACCGCUUUUGUCAGGGAAGAAACGGUCUGCGCUAAUACCGCGGACUAAUGACGGUACCUGAAGAAUAAGCACCGGCUAACUAUUGCCAGCAGCCGCGGUAAUACGUAGGGUGCAAGCGUUAAUCGGAAUUACUGGGCGUAAAAGGCGUGCGCAGGCGGGUUUUUGCAAGGACAAGAUUUUGAAAUUCCCCCGGGGCUUCAAACCUUGGGGAACUUGCAUUUUUGUUGACUUGCCUUUGGCAAGAAGUUGCGGGCAGAAGGGGGGGGAUUGGAAAU